rnacentral:ncRNA from 1 species
UAUUAUAUUAAAUAUAUAAUGUAUUGUGACAGUAAUCCAACUUGGUACGAGAGGAUUAGUUGGUUCAGACAUUUGGUUCACAGGAAUUGGUGGCCAAACCAUUGUCGCGAAGCUACGUCUGUUGGAUAAUGACUGAACGCCUCUUAAGUCAGAACCCAUGCUGAUUAAACAAUACUAUUGGUUCUUUUUUGUCCACUUUUACAAUAUAAAUGUAAGAGAGAAAAAAUAUGUACUCAUACUAGCAAGUUUUGUAUGAAUGCAACUAUUCCCAUGGCCCAUUAGGAUCUGGUAUUCUUUUGGGUAUUACUAAUUUAACAACGAAAAAGACAUACACAAAUUGUAGACGACUUUUAUAUCUUAAGGUGCUGUAAACAUGAAAGUAAACCUUGUUUUACGAUCUGUUGAGGCUAAUCCUUUAUGAUAAAGUGUUU